CUUAAAGAAGUAGCUGUAUAAUGUUGUAAGCUAUGAUAAUCAGUUUCUUACUUGACUGACCAUGCAUAGUGGGACUUUCCACAGGAGGCACAAAUUCUACUGAACAUAAUCGAGGAUAAUGAAGGAUGUGAGGCUCUUGAAAGAAGUCUGACAGGCAGAAGCAGUGAAUGCAGAUUUUUCAUACUACAUCAGCAUUUUGACAAUUGGCAACAUGAUUUGCUCUAUACAGAACUAAGAAACCACUGCAGUUAACAUUAGACAUCACUGGACUGCUGAUCAAGAUC
rnacentral:lncRNA from 14 species